UGGUACAUCCCCCCCCCUCCCCCGGUAUUCAUUGUCUUCUACAGUAGAGCGGGACAUUUAAUUUACUCUCAGCGGAAUUGACCGGAGAAGGCAUCAGUUCAUGCACUGCACUGGCCCGCACCACGAUUAGUAUAAGGCACAUUUCACGAAGCAGAACGCAGUCUUCAGAGAUAUCCACGUGAACGCUGUGAUACGUCUGACCUUCAGUCCGAAGAAGAAACCCAGACCAGUCUUAAAAGAAAGCACAAACCAAAUCCCCUGUACACAUAUACGGACUCAGAGGAUGAGUUUUUUUGUGGGGAAAGCCUACAAAAAUACGGUUUCCCCAGGCCCCUCGAGUGAAAAUACCAGCCCUCAUCACUCCGCAGUCUGCCCCCCAGCCCACUGAUAGCAACCAUCAUAAUGCCCCACCCAGCUUCCGGCACCUUUCGCCACUCCGGCACAAACCGACACAGCUUUGCGAUCUCCCCAGCAUGCAGAGUCUGAUGUCUUCCCUAUAGAUGAUUCCAGAGACUCUGUGAAGCCACUAUUACAAGGUGAGACGCUUUGCGUUGAUUGGUGCUGCUGGACCACACUGGAGGUGCGAGUCCGCCGUGUAAUGGUUUAUGCCAUUACAAAGGAGCUGGCGUCUGUACUCAACUGGGCAGGGAAAAAAAAACAAGG